AGCCUAAAGCUUGAUUUUAGGUUUAGCCUGCCCAGUGUGACUUAUCAACGGCCGCGGUACUUUGACCGUGCUAAGGUAGCAUAAUCAGUUGACUUUUAAUUGAAGUCUGGAAUGAACGGAUAAAUGGGGGUAGACUGUCUCCGUUAAACUUUAUUGAACUUACUUUUGAGGUGAAAAAGCCUUAACUAAAGAAAAAGACGAGAAGACCCUAGGAGCUUUAUAAUAAUUUUGUUGGGGCGACAAAGGAAAAUAUUGAUCUUCCUUUAAUAACUUAUUUUACAAGACGAAUGUUUAAGAAAGGUUAAGCUACCCUAGGGAUAACAGCAUAAUUUAUUAAAUAAGAUUGUGACCUCGAUGUUGGACUAGGAAUUAGAUAGGUGAGCAACCUUUCUUAACGGUUCUGUUCGAACUUUGUCUCCU
rnacentral:rRNA from 1 species